rnacentral:rRNA from 1 species
CAGCCGCCACGGUAAUACAGAGGGUGCGAGCGUUAAUCGGAUUUACUGGGCGUAAAGCGUGCGUAGGCGGCUUCUUAAGUCGGAUGUGAAAUCCCUGAGCUUAACUUAGGAAUUGCAUUCGAUACUGGGAAGCUAGAGUAUGGGAGAGGAUGGUAGAAUUCCAGGUGUAGCGGUGAAAUGCGUAGAGAUCUGGAGGAAUACCGAUGGCGAAGGCAGCCAUCUGGCCUAAUACUGACGCUGAGGUACGAAAGCAUGGGGAGCAAACAGGAUUAGAUACCCCAGUAGCCCUGUCUCUUAUACC